rnacentral:rRNA from 1 species
AUUGAACGCUGGCGGCAGGCCUAACACAUGCAAGUCGAGCGGAUGAAGGGAGCUUGCUCCUGGAUUCAGCGGCGGACGGGUGAGUAAUGCCUAGGAAUCUGCCUGGUAGUGGGGGAUAACGUCCGGAAACGGGCGCUAAUACCGCAUACGUCCUGAGGGAGAAAGUGGGGGAUCUUCGGACCUCACGCUAUCAGAUGAGCCUAGGUCGGAUUAGCUAGUUGGUGGGGUAAAGGCCUACCAAGGCGACGAUCCGUAACUGGUCUGAGGGGAUGAUCAGUCACACUGGAACUGAGACACGGUCCAGACUCCUACGGGAGGCAGCAGUGGGGAAUAUUCGACAAUGGGCGAAAGCCUGAUCCAGCCAUGCCGCGUGUGUGAAGAAGGUCUUCGGAUUGUAAAGCACUUUAAGUUGGGAGGAAGGGCAGUAAGUUAAUCCCUUGCUGUUUUGACGUUACCAACAGAAUAAGCACCGGCUAACUUCGCG